rnacentral:tRNA from 3 species
GCAGUGGUAACUCAGCGGUAGAGUGUGAGAUUGCAAUCUUGCCCUUCUUGGACAUUGCAUUCAUCUUGAAGUCCCGUGUUCGAUCCACGGUCACUGCU